GUAUGUGUUUCAGCUAAACUUGUGGUAGAAUGCUGUUAAUGUCAUGCAAGUUUUAAAUGGUGACAGGAUUGUCUAAGACAAUGUCGGUGUCUUUGUCCAGUAGGGCAGUAACUGCAGCUACUACUCUUACACAGGAAGGGGCACCUCUGGCAACAGGGUCCAACCUGGUAGAGUAAUAGGAAAUGGGUCUCUGUUUCCCACCAUGGUCCUGC